rnacentral:rRNA from 1 species
GUUUGAUCCUGGCUCAGAUUGAACGCUGGCGGCAUGCCUUACACAUGCAAGUCGAACGGCAGCACGGGAGCAAUCCUGGUGGCGAGUGGCGAACGGGUGAGUAAUAUAUCGGAACGUGCCCAGUAGUGGGGGAUAACUGCUCGAAAGAGCAGCUAAUACCGCAUACGACCUGAGGGUGAAAGGGGGGAGUCGCAAGACCUCUCGCUAUUGGAGCGGCCGAUAUCAGAUUAGCUAGUUGGUGGGGUAAAGGCCUACCAAGGCAACGAUCUGUAGUUGGUCUGAGAGGACGACCAGCCACACUGGGACUGAGACACGGCCCAGACUCCUACGGGAGGCAGCAGUGGGGAAUUUUGGACAAUGGGCGCAAGCCUGAUCCAGCAAUGCCGCGUGCAGGAAGAAGG